rnacentral:rRNA from 1 species
UACAGAGGUCCCAAGCGUUGUUCGGAUUUACUGGGCGUAAAGGGAGCGUAGGUGGUAUUCUAAGUCUGGUGUGAAAGCUCUGAGCUUAACUCAGAAAUGGCAUUAGAUACUAGUUUGCUUGAGGAUUGGAGGGGAGAUUGGAAUACUUGGUGUAGCGGUGAAAUGCGUAGAUAUCAAGAGGAACACCUGCGGCGAAGGCGGGUUGCUGGGCCGACACUGACGCUGAGGCGCGAAAGCUAGGGGAGCGAACGGG